rnacentral:tRNA from 1 species
CAAAGUAUAAUUAAUAGAGUUUAGUAUUUCACUUACAUUGAAAUGAAUUAUCGUGCAAAUCGAUUUGCUUUGAG